GCACUCGUAACUUAAUUGGAUAGAGUACUACCCUCCGAAGGUAGCUGUUAUCGGUUCAAAUCCGGUCGAGUGCU
rnacentral:tRNA from 1 species